UGGGGAAUUUUGGACAAUGGGCGCAAGCCUGAUCCAGCCAUGCCGCGUGCAGGAUGAAGGCCCUCGGGUUGUAAACUGCUUUUGUACGGAACGAAAAGCCUCUUUCUAAUAAAGAGGGGUGAUGACGGUACCGUAAGAAUAAGCACCGGCUAACUACGUGCCAGCAGCCGCGGUAAUACGUAGGGUGCGAGCGUUAAUCGGAAUUACUGGGCGUAAAGCGUGCGCAGGCGGUCUUGCAAGACAGUGGUGAAAUCCCCGGGCUCAACCUGGGAACUGCCAUUGUGACUGCAAGGCUGGAGUACGGCAGAGGGGGAUGGAAUUCCGCGUGUAGCAGUGAAAUGCGUAGAUAUGCGGAGGAACGCCGAUGGCGAAGGCAGUCCCCUGGGCCUGUACUGACGCUCAUGCACGAAAGCGUGGGGAGCAAACA
rnacentral:rRNA from 1 species